rnacentral:rRNA from 1 species
UACGUGAGGGGGCAAGCGUUGUCCGGAAUCAUUGGGCGUAAAGCGCGUGUAGGCGGUCCGGUAAGUCCGCUGUGAAAGUCGGGGGCUCAACCCUCGGAUGCCGGUGGAUACUGUCGGGCUUGAGUACGGAAGAGGCGAGUGGGAAUUCCUGGUGGUAGCGGUGAAAAUGCGCAGAUAUCAGGAAGAACACCCGUGGCGAAAGCGGCUCUCUGGAACGGUACUGACGCUGAGACGCGAAAGCGUGGGGAGCGAACAGG